UUCUUUUACCUCAAUCAGCAUCACUAAUCUUCAUAGUUGUUACCAACGAGCUGUUGGCCCAAUGGUAAAUCUCCUAGGUAGAUGUGCUGAUUCGAGGUGGGAGGG